GAUGAACGCUAGCUGGAGGCCUAAUACAUGCAAGUCGAACGGGAUUGGGUAGCAAUACCCAUGAGAGCGGCGCACGGGUGAGUAACGCGUACACGACCUACCUCUAACAGGGGGAUAGCCCUGGGAAACUGGGAUUAAUACCGCAUAUAAUUCUGAAUAAUAAAGGUUUGGAAUGAAAGCUGAGGCGGUUAGAGAUGGGUGUGCGUCUGAUUAGCUAGUUGGUGGGGUAACGGCCUACCAAGGCGAUGAUCAGUAGGGGGCGUGAGAGCGUGGUCCCCCACACGGGUACUGAGACACGGACCCGACUCCUACGGGAGGCAGCAGUAAGGAAUAUUGGUCAAUGGGCGAAAGCCUGAACCAGCCAUCCAGCGUGCAGGAAGAAGGCCCUAUGGGUUGUAAACUGCUUUUAUCAGGGAAGAAACCUCUGGAUUUACUCCGGAGCUGACGGUACCUGAAGAAUAAGCACCGGCUAACUCCGUGCCAGCAGCCGCGGUAACAC
rnacentral:rRNA from 1 species